GCCAUAGCUUAGUGGUGGAGCACGUAUCCUGCAUGCGGAAGGUCCCAGGUUCAAUCCCCGGUGUCUCCA